AUUGAACGCUGGCGGCAGGCUUAACACAUGCAAGUCGCGCGAGCGGCGGACGGGUGAGUAAUGUCUGGGAAACUGCCUGAUGGAGGGGGAUAACUACUGGAAACGGUAGCUAAUACCGCAUACCAUCAGAUGUGCCCAGAUGGGAUUAGCUAGUAGGUGGGGUAAAGGCUCACCUAGGCGACGAUCGCUAGCUGGUCUGAGAGGAUGACCAGCAACACUGGAACUGAGACACGGUCCAGAAUCCUACGGUGGGCAGCAGUGGGGAAUAUGGCAGAAUGGGCGCAAGCCUGAUGCAGCAAUGCCGGGUGUAUGAAGAGGGCCUUCGGGUUGUAAAGUACGUUCAGCGGGGAGGCGUGACCCGCAGAAGAAGCACCGGCUAACUCCGUGCCAGCAGCCGCGGUAAUAC
rnacentral:rRNA from 1 species